rnacentral:rRNA from 1 species
CCCUGCCAUUUGUACACACCGCCCGUCGCUCCUACCGAUUGAACGUGCUGGUGAAGCGGUAGGACUGGACCGCCGGCUAGCAAUGGUCGACGGUUCGGGAAUUCCGUUGAACCCUCCCGUUUAGAGGA